CCCUUAGACGUUCUGGGCCGCACGCGCGCUACACUGACCAGUGCAACAAGCAUCCGUCCUUGGCCGACAGGCUCGGGCAAUCUUUGAACGCUGGUCGUGAUGGGGAUAGACUUUUGCAAUUUUUGGUCUUCAACGAGGAAUUCCUAGUAAACGCAAGUCAUUAACUUGCAUUGAUUACGUCCCUGCCCUUUGUACACACCGCCCGUCGCACCUACCGAUUGAAUGGUCCGGUGAAGCCUCCGGAUUGGCGCGCACCUCGGUGCCGCCGAGAAGUUGGCUAAACCUUACCAUUUAGAGGAAGGUGAAGUCGUAACA
rnacentral:rRNA from 1 species